UACGAAGGGGGCUAGCGUUGCUCGGAAUCACUGGGCGUAAAGCGCACGUAGGCGGAUUGUUAAGUCAGGGGUGAAAUCCUGGAGCUCAACUCCAGAACUGCCUUUGAUACUGGCGAUCUCGAGUCCGGGAGAGGCGAGUGGAACUGCGAGUGUAGAGGUGAAAUUCGUAGAUAUUCGCAAGAACACCAGUGGCGAAGGCGGCUCACUGGCCCGGUACUGACGCUGAGGUGCGAAAGCGUGGGGAGCAAACAGG
rnacentral:rRNA from 1 species